GGGUUUUAGAUGUUUGUUCCUGGUUGGAUGGUUCCUAAAAAGAAGGUGACACUUGAGUAAAAGCAAGAUUUAUAGGUGCAGGAAUAUUGCAGUUUUGUACCAAAUAUUCAGAUCUUCGCAUGUCUGUAUGUCCCUGCAUUUGGAAAUCACGGGAUUUUUUAAAUCUGGGUUUGUUUCCGGGUUUUAGAUGUUUGUUCCUGGUUGGAUGGUUCCUAAAAAGAAAGUGACACUUGAGUAAAAGCAAGAUUUAUAGGGGCAGGAAUAUUGCAGUUUUGCACCAAAUAUGCGGAUCUUCACAUAUCUGUAUGUCCCUGCAUUCGGAAAUCACGGGAUUUUUUAAAUCUGGGUUUGUUUCCAGGUUUUAGAUGUUUGUUCCUGAUUGGUUGGUUCCUAAAAAGAAAGUGACACUUGAGUAGAAGGCAAAAAUUUGGUUUGUGUGCCAGAAACUUUAUGAAACAUGUGAAUGACACAGUUUAUCUGAGCAGGGCAAAGAACGGAACUUUUGCAGUGAUUCGCUGCAGUUAUUCUCAUCAUACCCGCAUCUUGAGUUUAAAAAAAGGACACCAAUGUUUUCCGUGGAAGUUUCAUGGUGACCAUCUUGGGAGCCUCUAAAUCUUGCAUCAAAGCAUCAAGUCUGGACAACAGAGGCAGAAAUUCUGGGACCAACAGGUCUGUAUGUGGACAUCUUCUGAAGUUCUGGGAUUUUUUUGCCUCUGUUUAAAACUCGUGAUUUUGUGCUGUCUGGAAGUGCCCUAAAACUCAUUUGGAUGUGGCUCCUUUUGGGAUUUCCUGGAGAAAGCCAUGGCAGUUGAACUGGCCCAAGACCCAAAUUCUGCAAUCUAGACACAAUAUAGUUUGUAGACAGAACAACCUAUGUUUUUUUUUAAUUUUGGAAAGCAUGAUCAAAAUUCGAUACCAAGAAAGGUUGAAUUUCUCAAUCUUUUACAGUUUUGAAGAAGCCAUUCUGCUUUCAUUGUAGCAGAGGAAUGAGAGAAGUUGUGCAGGGUGCAUCUGUGCUCCUUCUCCCUGGACAUGUUGUGGCUCACUCCUUUGUCGUUCUUGUCAUGUCAUCAGCCACUGCACAUAUGCAUACUUCCAUGUUUAUCUCCCCAGCCACAAGAGCCAGGAAAUUGGGCUUUCUCCAAACAAUGAAUGCUAGAUUCCUUUUGCAUCCACUCUCCCUUCAUUUGCACUCUGAUCCUAUCCUCUCCAACUUCACCCCCCAAUAACAUUUCUCAGGAUGCCAAACAUUGGAGAAGGGGUCCUUUAAAUGGCGAACUCUCAGAUCUGCAAAACUACACCCAGAUGGUGGAGUGGCUUAGAGGGAGAAGCCCCACCUCUCUCCCUUUUGCAAAUGGGGCGGGAAACGCCAAUUUUUUUACCCAUAAUGAUUUUUGCCACCAAUUUCCUCAAGUGCUCUACAUUCUCAGGUUGGCGCUGAGUUUGCGUGAUACGAGGCCAUAUGAAAAAAAACAGGGUUUUGUGAAGCCAUAGAGGGACAGAAAGGGCAGAUUUUGACAUUGUUUGGAGACAUUACUUCUUUGGGUUGCUGUGAGCUUCCCAGGCUAUAUGACCAGAAGCAUUCAUAGAAUCAUAGAAUCGAAGAGUUGGAAGAGACCUCCUGGGCCAUCAUCCAGUCCAACCCCUUUCUGCCAAGAAGCAGGAAUAUUGGAUUCAAAUCACCCCUGACAGAUGGCCAUCCAGCCUGUGUUUAAAAGCUUCCAAAGAAGGAGCCUCCACCACACUCCGGGGCAGAGAGUUCCACUGCUGAACGGCUCUCACAGUCAGGAAGUUCUUCCUCGUGUUCAGAUGGAAUCUCCUUUCUUGUAGUUUGAAGCCAUUGUUCCAUUGCGUCCUAGUCUCCAGGGAAGCAGAAAACAAGCUUGCUCCCUCCUCCUUCCUGUGGCUUCCUCUCACAUAUUUAUACAUGGCUAUCAUAUCUCCUCUCAGCUUUCUCUUCUUCAGGCUAAACAUGUUCAGCUCCUUAAGCCGCUCCUCAUAGGGCUUGUUCUCCAGACCCUUGAUCAUUUUAGUCGCCCUCCUCUGGACACAUUCCAGCUCCUGAUGUUUUGCCCACAUCUACAAUUUUACAAUUUAGCUGUAAAUCGCCUAGAGCAUUCUCAAAUGGAGGGCGAUUAAAAAGUAAUUAAAUAUCAUGAUGAUGAUGAUUAUGAUGAUGAUGAUGAUGAUGAUCUAUGGCAGGCAUCCUCAGAGGUUAUGAGGUCUGUUGGAAACUAGGCAAGUGAGGUUUAUACAUCUGUGAAAUGUUCAGGGUGGGAGAAAGAAUUGCAAAUGUGUAUGUUGCAAUUCCCCCAGGCAGAAAGCAGCCAGGCUUUGAAGCUGCAAGACCAUUCAGUGCUAAUCAAGGUUGUCAGUUGCAACAUCCACACUUUCCUCAGGCAGACAAGAGUUCUUUCUCCCACCCUGAACAUUCCACAGAAACAUAAACCUCACUUCUUGCCUAGUUUCCAACAGACCUCACAGCCUCUGAGGAAGCCUGCCAUAGAUGUGGGUGAAACGUCAGGAGAGAAUGCUUCUGGAACAUGGCCAUACAAUCUGGGAAACUCACAGCAACAGUGAUUCUGGUCAUGAAAGCCUUCAACAGCAUAUUACUUCUUUGGAUUGCAACUCCCAGAAAUCUCCAGCUGGUCCACAGAUAUGCACAAAAAGGGUGCCCAAGCUUAGAUUCCAACCAUUGCGGAAUCCCCUUUGGAAGGUGUUUGUUUGUUUGGGGGUCGGGAUGUACACACAUGGCUUUCAGUAAGGCAAGCCUAGUAAGACAGGUGUUUGUAGGGGUGUUGUCUGAGAUUUGGAAGCAAUUAACCCCGGGCAAAGAAAUAAACGCUAUAGGAUGUCCUGAUGGUGGUGACUGUGGCUUCGCAGCAAAGGCGCAGUGCUCAGUAAAGAUUUGCAGUAUUAAAACAACUCUUUAAAAAUA